GAUAGCCACCACCAUUAGCCCUUUCUCAUCCAACAUCUCAAACCUCUUCCUCCUCGUCAAGGCCCUAUCAUAAAUAUAAAGAGAUCAGUAAAACAUUUGUUAUUCAAGGUUAUUGAAUCAAGUAGUAGAAGCUGCAAGUCACAAGCUCCUAGGGCAAGCAAAAAGCUGACAUACACAUGAAGUUAUUUUCAAUUCAACAUUACAGGAGAAAUAGCAUUUAUCCAUAUAAAAUGAGUAGUAUUUACUAAGAAUAAGCACACAGACAAAGAGAACCUAUUUUAAGACCUUUUAAAUAGGCAAUCCUUAUGUAAAUAACUAAUUAAUAUGAAAGAAUAUACACUAAUGAAGAUACAUUUUAUAUUCCACAUGCAAGUAAUAAGACUUUAGUAGUCAAAUUUACUAUUGAGAGACACAUACAAAAUUAUUUAACAAUAGAAUUCUUAUAGUUUAAUGUUACAGUGCAUGUGAAAGAACUAUAUUCAGUGUGAUAGCACAACUAAAAUUAAAUAAGGAGAAACAUGGUAACGUUUCACUAAAAAACUUAUUUUGUUGUGAGAAAAAGAUUCAAACUACAGAGCACCUGAAAAGCAAGAUGAAAAUGGCACAGCAUGAACAUGUAACUUGACCAAAACACCAGGAACAAAAGGUAUUAAGAAAAGGACUCACCGGGGCAAUGCUUAAAACAUAAUCAACAUCCACACGGCUGCCUUCUCCCAGCCAGUUAGAUCCUCUCUGAAUUGUAUGAGAAAAUGAAAACUAAUUUCACAUUUUACUUCCAUGAGACCAAGCAUAGUACCAAAUGCAUUGCAGGAGCCCUUUAGCUUAAAAGAAUUUACUGCAAGGAUACCAGAUGAGGCAAGACAGAGAGUUAUUUCACAUAGCAAUCAAAUGGCUUAAACAGAUCAGUAGUAGGAUCCAAGGUAGUUUUCGUUGCUGCCAAAUGAUCAAGAAGAUUGAAGAAUUAGAGACUCAAACUUGGAGCCGCAGCAAUCACAAGAUCUAAGAACUACUGACAUAUAACAAGCAAGCUCAUGACGACCUGUUGGCAUGCACCAUGAGGAUCCGGUCAAGCUUGCGUCGAAAUUAGAGUGAACCAUAGAACUGCAAAAAAAAGUCUGCUUGAAUAGGAAAAUAAAAUAGGUUUGGUAGAAAAGGCAACAAAGUACUUAUCGAGCAUAUUGAUUGCAAGUAAUAUUCAGAUUGUAUUAUAAUUUAUUCUCAAUGCAAAGUGGCAAACAUCACUUCAAGUUGUAAAAGUACAGAGAAUCAUAUACCUUUGCUCUUAUUCAAUAUAGCUGUACCUGGCGAUAUGGUGAACAUAUGCAUAGCAAGCA